AUAUUAUUACCUACACUAGAAAAUAAUUUAUGAUAUUUCACUCUCCAAAUAAAACGGAAAUCCAGGAAUGAAAAUUGAAAGAAAUUAAAAAAUGAUUCCACGAAAUAAGGUUAAUAAAAUUUUUAAAAAAUAGCUUAAAAAAAUUUUUUUUUUUUAAAUAUGCCUUCGGUUCUGGUUUGGGUACAGCAAAAAUACGAGGGUUCAGGGUCCGGAUUAAUGUUGUAACGAUUCGUUUUGAGACGAUUUUUAAAAACGAUAAACUCAAUAUUUUAGCCAGAAAAAUGUUGCCUAAACCCUGAGAUUUCGUUGAUAGAUGUCCAAACCUUUGUUCCUUCUACAAGCAAAAUCUUCAGGCUUGCGUAUUAUUUUGGGUGAAAUAUUGAGUUAGCCGUUUUUAAAAAUCGGCUCAAAAUGAGCCGUUUAACAACACUAGUCCGGAUUCACAUUCCUGGUAAAUAUUCAUUCUGUAAUUUUGGCCAAAACCUUCUAUAUACCUAUAAAUUUAAUAUAUGAAAAAAAAACUAUGUUUUUAAUAUAUUUGUUUUUUUAUUCUACCUAAAAAUAUUUAAUGCCGUUAACUCGCCUCGCCUAAGAGGUCAGAAUUGGGAUUGGCAAAACGUUAAGGAGUCAGGGGAAAAGUAGAAUCUAAUAAGAAACGGGACAUUGUUGAUUCUUAGGAAGAAACCUCGGAAUAUUGGCAACAUAAAAUUUUACUCCUUAGUCUACAAAAGCCCAGCAUUGGUUGAUACUUCGGUUAUAAAUUUGACGGAGAAAUGGCUUGUUAGCUGAGUGGUAAACUGAAACUAUUGGGCUGAAACUUAAUUGAGAAUUUGGGGCUUCUGAAACUGCUAGGUGGAUUACGUCUAAAGUAAGUUAGCUUCCGCAAAAAAAUAUGAUGAAUAGACCUUACGUUUCUGACCUCAGAACAUGCCGAACUCGUUAAAACACAAAUGCUAUAGUCAAGGACCCAGGCGUUUUCACAUUUUCCUUUCAAUUUCCGUCCAAAUGACCAAAUGAUAUAAUUAGUUGAAUUUAAUAUGAGCGGUUCUUAUAUUACAGAUUAUCGAUAAUAUAAAUGUUAUUCUUUCAAAAAAUCAAAUAUAUAAUAAUUCUUAUUAUGAAAAUUUACAAAGGAAUUAAUAUGUAUA